ACGAACGCUGGCGGCGUGCUUAACCCCUGCAAGUCGCACGGAAAGGCCCUGCUUUUGUGGGGUGCUCGAGUGGCGAACGGGUGAGUAACACGUGAGUAACCUGCCCUUGACUUUGGGAUAACUUCAGGAAACUGGGGCUAAUACCGGAUAGGAGCUCCUGCCGCAUGGUGGGGGUUGGAAAGUUUCGGCGGUUGGGGAUGGACUCGCGGCUUAUCAGCUUGUUGGUGGGGUAGUGGCUUACCAAGGCUUUGACGGGUAGCCGGCCUGAGAGGGUGACCGGCCACAUUGGGACUGAGAUACGGCCCAGACUCCUACGGGAGGCAGCAGUGGGGAAUAUUGCACAAUGGGCGGAAGCCUGAUGCAGCAACGCCGCGUGCGGGAUGACGGCCUUCGGGUUGUAAACCGCUUUCGCCUGUGACGAAGCGUGAGUGACGGUAAUGGGUAAAGAAGCACCGGCUAACUACGUG
rnacentral:rRNA from 1 species